CCCAGCAGCCGGUAACCCAGCGCGGCAUUCAUCUCUAGCUCCGUCUCCGUCUUCUCCGAGAUCCAAACAUUCCGCAUUAGCCUCCCAGCGAUCCCGCGGCGCCCUUCAUCCGGAGCCACCUCCUUCCGUUUCUAGCCAUCAAGGAACGCGAGAUUCAGCCAUUCCCACGGAUUCACGCCCUUCUCCAGCGAUCCCGCAUGCAACAAUCAAGCCUCCGCGAGAUCAUUCCCAGCAUCACGCCCUCCUCCUCUCUCAGUGGAUCCAUCAAGGGGGAGAAUGGGUAUAAAGAGGGUGGCCAUCGGCUUUGAGAGGGGAG
rnacentral:lncRNA from 1 species